rnacentral:rRNA from 1 species
CAGUCGCCGCGGGAAUACAGAGGGUGCGAGCGUUAAUCGGAUUUACUGGGCGUAAAGCGUGCGUAGGCGGCUUUUUAAGUCGGAUGUGAAAUCCCUGAGCUUAACUUAGGAAUUGCAUUCGAUACUGGGAAGCUAGAGUAUGGGAGAGGAUGGUAGAAUUCCAGGUGUAGCGGUGAAAUGCGUAGAGAUCUGGAGGAAUACCGAUGGCGAAGGCAGCCAUCUGGCCUAAUACUGACGCUGAGGUACAAAAGCAUGGGGAGCAAACAGGAUUAGAUACCCCGGUAGUCCCUGUCUCUUAUAC